UAAAAGCAAAAAGAAGUCUCAUUAAGAAGAAAAGCAAGUCGUACAGUGCAAAUACAUUAAAGAGGCGUGAUUUUAAAAGUUUGAAAAUAUUUAAAACUAAAACUAUGGAAAAACCAGAUAUAAGGAAAUUAAAUGAAUAUACAUAAAUUUAAGUAUAUAGUAAAAAGGUGUUUAUCCGGCACCAUCAGGAUGCAUGUGUAUGUAGAGGAGUAUAGAUUAAACUGGCACCAGCUAAACUUGGGUAGGGCCUAUUUGAAAGGUAGAGGCAGUUACAAGAAGUGCUGAGGUUUUUAACAAAUGUAAUGACUUAAUACAAUACCCACGAUGUUUAUAUAAGAUAACCUCAAAACUGUCUUAGUAUUCUAGAAAAAAAUUGUCAAAGCUGCACUUUCCUUAUGAAAACCUAUGUGCCUUUUCUUCAGCAUGAGAGAGCAUUUUUUACAUGACCCUCUCUCCAACAAUUGUUGGAACAGCAGCCAUAUCAAAUAAAGAAUACAUAACUGAUUUAAAUCAAACACAAUAAGCCUGGUUUCUUUUGGUAUACUUAUUUCAAAAUAAAUAAGUAAAUCAACAAAAUUAAAAUUACUUAAACAAAAAGAAUGAAAGAGACAGAGAAAUCAGCCAUGUUAACAUCGCUCUACAUAUCUCUUAAUCCAUUUCUGUGGAAAAGAGGUAAAUUACAUUGUCCAAGAUAUCUUCUAUGACCCAUGACCUGCAUAUAUUUUCCUUAUGUCUUAUAUCAUCUAUGUAUCUUCAACACAAAAUCAUUCCUUUUUCUGACAGGUAUCUUUUCAUUUGGUACAAGCCUUAAGAAAGCUUAGGGAAGACGGUACAAAGAAAACGAGCAGGCUAUGAAAUUACGGAGUUAGGCAGGAGACUGCACUGAGUUAACUGAGUAUCCAGCAACUCUCUAGCAGUCUCAGAGUGUACUGUGUGACAGUAUUACUGUCAUGUCAACUGAAGCCUCCAUGUUAGUCACUUGUGACCUACUGAUCCACAACUACCAAAAUGCAGUAACUGGUGUUGGUUAAUAGUGACCAUCAGACAUGAAGAGAAGAUAUCAUCUUCAGUACGUUCUGUUCCUUUGCAGCAAAGGAGAAAAAUUUUACAAAGAUUUUUGUUUAAAAUAGCUAACAAUCAUAAGUGCUAAUAUUUAAAGGGCUAACUUUAGUUAUCUAGGACACUUUAUCCAGAACUUUUCCCACUACUAUUCACGAUUUAGGUUGUGUUGUAUUUUCAUUUUUAACCAAGACCUUUUAACAAUUCUGAAAUAUAGCUCCACAUAACUAGCGUGCACUCUAGUACUUUUUUCACACCUGUUAAAUUUUAUUUAUUUAUUUGGUUAAACCAAACCCCAACAUUACUAAAUGCUACAGUGAACUACAGUUAGACUAGACGGACAAGCCUCGCAGUCAUAUCUGGAGUAUCAGAUUAUCAGACAUUUAACUACUUAAAUACUUCAAGGUGUCCACAUGAUGUUAAUAUAGCAGUCAGCUCCCCCAGUUGGAACUUACUAGUUUUCACCUGUUGGGGAGGGACAAGUAGUGAGUUCUAACUGCAUAACUAAGGGUACGACUCUGUGCACCAGAGGAUGCUCUGGGGGAGCGUCAGGGGUCAGUGAGGGCCCUAGAGAGCUGCCCACAAUCCACACGCUCUCCCUGUCUUACCACAGGGGCAAAGUUUCUGUAAAGGGCCAGAGAGGAAAUAUUUUAGGCUUUGCAGGCCACACAGCUUCUGUGGCAACUACUCAACUCUGCUGUUAUAACGCGGGAAAACAGCCCUGGACAAUAUAUACAGGAAAGAGCAGGGCUGUGACCCUGCAAAACAUUAUUUACGAUCAAUGAAAUUAGAAUUUCAGACUUUCCCACCUAUCACGAAAGAUACUUCACAUUCACAUCUACAAAGGUAAAAACCACUCCUAGCCAGCCAGCCGUACAAAAGCAGGCCGCCGUGGCGCUGGCCGCAGUCUGCGGACCCCGCUCCAUCACGCACGGUCCAGGCGGACGAGGUCAACCCCGAGGACCAUCGGCCCCGGCCCGGGAUGAGGAAGUCACGCCGCGAGCCCAGCGCGCCCAGCGCUGUGCAUCCGGGUCCCGUAGGGGACCCACUGCCCGGAUAAGCGCCCAGCGGCGGGAAGCGCCGGGCGGAAUAGGUCGCAGGAGGCAGGAGAGGGACACGCCUCCGCUGCGGAGGCCAGCCCCUGGACAGCGGAGUGUGCGAGAUUAGGACCAGGGAAAAGGAAGAGCUGGGUCUCGGGCGGGCCCCGGAAGCCAGGAGGUUCCCCCAGAAGAGCCCCGGGGUCGCCGCCUCCUCAGGCCGGUCACUCACUCGGAUACGCCGGCACGGACGAAGGCCAUAGCAACAGCCCAACUAGAAGGACUAAGGACUUCAUAGGCAUCGUCCGUAGCACUCCGCCAUGCGACGGGAACGUCCUGGGGCCACCAGGCCAGGUCAAGUGACUUGCCCAAGAUCACACAGAAACUAACUCAGCAGAAACUUAAACUGUUCUUCUGACUCUGACAUCGUACUUUCCACAACUGCACAAUCAUCUUUCAUCAUCUGUUCUUGCUCAUUUUUCAAGUGUAAUUUAAGGUCUUAAAGAUUUGGGUCUAGAAGUUCAGCUGCAAAAGAAUUUAUUGUUUAAAAGGCAAAAUGUUUUUUAUGUGCAAAAAUUUAUUUUGCCCAAAAGUUACUGUGGUUCUCCCAAA